UCUGGUUGAUCCUGGCGGAGGAUACUGCUAUCGGAGUCCGAUUUAGCCAUGCUAGUCCACCGAUUCGUUCGGGGCGGAUAGCUGAGUAACACGUGGCUAACCUACCCUGUGGACAAGAAUAACCUCGCUAACGUGAGGCUAAUACUUGAUAGCAGAGAAGUACUGGAAACGUCUUCUCUGUGAAAUGUUCCGACGCCAUAGGAUGGGGCCGCGGCUGAUUAGGUCGUUGGUGAGGUAAUGGCUCACCAAGCCAAUAAUCAGUAGUAGCCGUGAGAGCGGUAGCUACCAGUCGGCUUCUGAGACAAGAAGCCGGACCCUACGGGGUGCAGCAGGCACGAAACCUUCACAAUGCACUAACGUGCGAUGGGGGGACUCCGAGUGCGUCUUUCCCAACAAGGAAGGACGCUUUUCUGCACUGUAAGGAGGUGCAGGAACAAGGGGUGGGCAAGACGGCUGCCAGCCGCCGCGGUAAUAGCCGCACCCCAAGUGGUAUCCAGUAUUAUUGGGCUUAAAGUGUUCGUAGCCGGCUGUGUAAGUCUGCUGUGAAAUCCACGCGCUCAACGUGUGGACAUGCAGCAGAUACUGCAUAGCUAGGGGCCGGACGGCGUUGAGGCUAUUCCAGGGGGAGGAGUGAAAUCCUAAAAUCCCUGGAGGAGCGCCAGUGGCGAAAGCGCUCAACGAGAACGGACCCGACGGUGAGGAACGAAAGCUAGUGGAGCAAAGCGGAUUAAAUACCCGCGUANUCCUAGCUGUAAACAUUGCCUGUUAAAUGUCGGACAACCUUCNAGGUUGUCCGGUGCCNAANUGAAAACGCUUAAACAGGCCNCC
rnacentral:rRNA from 1 species